rnacentral:rRNA from 1 species
ACGAACGCUGGCGGCGUGCUUAACCCAUGCCCGUCGAACGGAAAGGCCCUGCUUGCAGGGUACUCGAGUGGCGAACGGGUGAGUAACACGUGGGUGAUCUGCCCUGCACUUCGGGAUAAGCCUGGGAAACUGGGUCUAAUACCGGAUAGGAGCCAUUUUUAGUGUGAUGGUUGGAAAGUUUUUUCGGUGUAGGAUGAGCUCGCGGCCUAUCAGCUUGUUGGUGGGGUAAUGGCCUACCAAGGCGGCGACGGGUAGCCGGCCUGAGAGGGUGGACGGCCACAUUGGGACUGAGAUACGGCCCAGACUCCUACGGGAGGCAGCAGUGGGGAAUAUUGCACAAUGGGCGCAAGCCUGAUGCAGCGACGCCGCGUGGGGGAUGACGGCCUUCGGGUUGUAAACUCCUUUCGCUAGGGACGAAGCUUUUUGUGACGGUACCUAGAUAAGAAGCACCGGCUAACUACGUG